CCGAUGGUGAUCGUGGUUGGCGGUAUUGUGAUGUUGAUAAUGGAUGAUUGUAAAUAAUAUUUGCUUAGAAAAAUUCACCAUGCAUAAAAGUACCUUACGGUAUUAUUAGACGAGUUUAGUAAUGUAGCAAUUUCUAAUUUCAGCUAAUACUUCUGAAGUACUCUGAAGUACUCUGUUUAAGAAACAGUGUUCUCACAGUACUUAAAAUUACCGUGAUUUUACAUGACCUUAACUGCUAGCUAAACUACAAUAAUUGUAAUAAGAACAUACAGAACAUGUAUUAGAAACAGAGGAAACCCUUAAAACAGCCAAUCGAAACGAGAUCGCACAAUUCCAGAUCAGUUGGGUGAAUAAAAAUGGUAAAAAUCAGGCAAGCAAGACUCGGAUAUUUCCGCGGAAAUGAACGUCUAUAGCCGGAUAUCGAGAAAUUCAUCUCUCGGAUCCUCGUUUCCUCUUCGAGGCUCGACCAACCUGAAAUCGACGAGUCCGACAAUCAGAUUACCCGUGGCCGACCAAAGUUCAAGAUUCCAGCGCGGCCUGCACGGGAUAGGCGCAGAGGCGCGUGAAAUUUGUGUCUGCGUCAGGCACGAUCGCGCGUCCCGCCGCCGCGUUCCUGUCAAUAACAGUUUCCACGAACGCAUAAUCGCAAUAUUCUCCGAAAGAUCCUAAACUUAGAUAGACGAAACAAGGUUCAGCAGGUAGAGGGAUCUAAACGGACGUAAGUAAUGCACGGCGGAGAGGCCGGAGUAAGAAAAAGAGAGAACGAGAGUGUGCAGACGAUAUAAAGGAACAAAUGAGUUUCGUGAUCGUACCAGAGCCCGAUCUUGUCUUGGGUUAAUCGAGCAACGCCGUAGAAAACGAGCAGAACAAGCUCGGGUUCCUGGCAGGGUGAGUCCGAGCACAGCCGACGAUGAGAGAGGAGAGAAUGACGAGGGUGAAUAAUGUUUCGCGUCCAAUUCGAACGGUCAGAGACAAACUUUUGCAUUGUGCAACGCAUAAUAUACAGAACGGGAUAUCCUCUGUUCUCCUCGUCGCCCUUUAUCGCUGGCAAACUUUGCCCUUUCUCUCGUUUCUUGCACCCUGAAAGCGCGCGCCCGCGCGCCGUGGUCUUUUCAAUCUCGAUGAGAUUAAGUUGUACCCGUGGCAGUCUAUCGCACGGCUACGCCGUAGCAUUGUUUACGAGGAGGUAAGAGGCCACGAAUCGUGCUCGUGCCAGCUAGCGAGGAUAUAUUUAUUCGUACGUUAAAAUGUCGGCCUCGAGACGAUCAAGAAGUUUCCUUGAAGCCAAAAGGCGGUUAGACGCGAGUCGCGUUUAAGGGUUCCGCUGGUAGCGCGAACCGAUUCGACGCCGAUAAUAAUUUGCAUUCGCCGAUAGCGAACUAGGACACGGUACAGGUGCAGUAACAAAGGGAAGAAAGUCGGGCAGAUAUGUACGUUAACGCGUGGUAAAUCAUCUUCGACGGUUAGCGCGGAUUAUAAUUAAGAGAGCCGCGGAUUCGAAACAAUACGUACGAAAGCGUAGAAAUAAUUAAUACUCUGAAAGUGGACGUGUUUCCUCGGUUUCGCGAUCGAACGCAGCAGGUUCGACGAUCGGUCUCUAUGAGAAGGCUUAUCUAAACUUUAUCGGGCGUACUGGCGAUACGAAUAAUUCACGUUUGACAUUUCAGCGAGCGAGGGAGCGAGCAAACGGGGCCGUAUCCUAACCGUGGCCGCUUGAAAACGCUUAUUUACAUUCUAUUUUUCAGCAAUAGACCCUGACGUAGUAAAACGAUGCAUUAUCGAGGCCUGUACUUUAAGUACGUUUACCUCGCCGCACGGGAUAGUGGGCAGAGCCGAUUCCUAGCCUCAGAAGUUCAUCCACCGUGUAGCCGAGGUGCUAUUGUUCCAGAACCAGCCAAAGGAGACGAGACGAGAAGCGGAGGAGAAGGAGGAAGAAGAAGUUAGCGAACGAGGUGGAGGAGGAUGCUAUCGAGAAAGAGGUGUAUCUAAGUACACGUACACGUGUACACAUGGAAGAAAAGUAGGCCUUUGCUGUGGAGUUCAAACGAUUCUUACGCAUCACCAGCGCGCACGCGUACACGUUAAUUUCAAUCGGCGGCGCGCAAACUUUUCGUUACAGUCUAUUUCGCAAGCCCGCUGCCAACUAAAGGUCAUCGACGCUCCGGCGAUUCUUGAUAAUUAUUCUCGCUAAGAUUGUUAUCGCUUCGUGGGCCAAUCUGGAGAAGUCAUUCGCAGGAUACGUCUCUCGCCAUCUUCUUCUUGGCCGUCUUUUUAUUCAAUAGGUAAAAUUGGUAGAUAAAAUAGUAGUCGAAUACAGUCCAAGAAAUAAUCACACCUUUUUCUUCUUGGAACUCAGGCAUACGAUAAAUUCGAAGUGGAAAGGGAAGUUUGUCAUUUUUUGUGUUGUACUGUAUUUUUUAUAAUAGCCAGUGUACAAACUACAUAAGCCAUAGGAAAUAAAAAGAAGAAGCAAGGAGGAAAAUUGUAUUAAUGACUAUGUUUUUUUUUUAGUAGAGGUAUCGUAUUAUUUUGUAUAAAAACACGCGUACUAAUAUUGGACUUGUAUAUUUUUUACCUGAUAUUCGACAUCUGAAGAGAAAUUUGAGAUCAUAUGAUUUUAACUAUUUGCAUUCUAACUAAACUAUUUGUGUUCAAUGCUAGAUAUGUAAGUACCUAGACUUCUUGACACAUAGACAAAUUGCGCCAUUAAAAUAAGUCACAGCUAACUAUUAAUAACCGUAGGGACUAAACUAAAAUUGUAAAUUAGAUUUGCAGGAGGUAAAUUAUUGUUUUGCUCUUUUAAAAAGAGAUCAAUUACCUAAUCUAAUGUACCGACACCACAACUCGAUUAUUGAUUUACGUUCAAGUCAAAAGUGGUUUCGAGCGCUUCUCAUAGAAGCCUCGUUAAAAUACGGAAAUCGUUAUGGUUUGGGAAUAAGAUGAAGCAAAGCGUGUAUCAAGUUGUUUCCAAUUCGUCGAGUUUUAUUCACAAAGACUUCUGUCUAGCGUUAUAUAGAAAUAUUUAUAUUCCAGGUAAAUUCCUAAGCACAUUUGUUUCAACAUCAAAAGCAUAGUACAACAUAAAAGCAACAGAAGUCUUAUCUUCCUUUGAAAUCU